rnacentral:rRNA from 1 species
AUACGUAGGUGACGAGCGUUAUCCGGAUUUACUGGGCGUAAAGGGCGUGUAGGCGGUCUUGCAAGUCAGAAGUGAAAUUCCUGAGCUCAACUCGGGCGCUGCUUCUGAAACUGCAGGACUUGAGUGCUGGAGGGGAUAGCGGAAUUCCUAGUGGAGCGGUAAAAUGCGCAGAUAUUAGGAAGAACACCGGUGGCGAAGGCGGCUAUCUGGACGGUAACGGACGCUGAGGCGCGAAAGCGUGGGGAGCAAACAGGAUUAGAUGCCCUGGUAGUCCACGCCGUAAACGAUGAAUACUAGGUGUAGGGGGUAUCGACUCCCUCUGUGCCGCAGUUAACACAAUAAGUAUUCCGCCUGGGGAGUACGGCCGCAAGGUUGAAACUCAAAUGAAUUGACGGGG